UACAGAGGGUGCGAGCGUUAAUCGGAAUUACUGGGCGUAAAGCGCGUGUAGGCGGCUUUGCAAGUCGGGUGUGAAAGCCCUCGGCUCAACCGAGGAAGUGCGCCCGAAACUGCAGAGCUUGAGUGCCGGAGAGGGUGGCGGAAUUCCCCAAGUAGAGGUGAAAUUCGUAGAUAUGGGGAGGAACACCAGUGGCGAAGGCGGCCACCUGGACGGUUACUGACGCUGAGACGCGAAAGCGUGGGGAGCAAACAGG
rnacentral:rRNA from 1 species